rnacentral:rRNA from 1 species
UACGUAGGGGUCUAGCGUUGUCCGGAAUUAUUGGGCGUAAAGAGCUCGUAGGCGGUUCGUCGCGUCGGCUGUGAAAUCCCGAGGCUCAACCUCGGGUCUGCAGUCGAUACGGGCGGACUGGAGUUCGGCAGGGGAGACUGGAAUUCCUGGUGUAGCGGUGAAAUGCGCAGAUAUCAGGAGGAACACCGGUGGCGAAGGCGGGUCUCUGGGCCGAUACUGACGCUGAGGAGCGAAAGCGUGGGGAGCGAACAGG